GUCUACGGCCAUACCACCCUGAACAUGCCCGAUCUUGUCUGAUCUUGGAAGCUAAGCAGGGUCAGGCCUGGUUAGUACUUGGAUGGGAGACCUCCUGGUGGGAAUACUGGGUGCUGUAGGCU
ensembl:rRNA 5S_rRNA 5S ribosomal RNA